GGGGUGUGCUCAGAGCAGGGAGUCUGAAGAAUGGCUUCUCUGUUUACAACACACCCAACAACAAUCUGGGUUUACUCCUCACAGGUGGCAGGAUACUUGGGCCUUCCUGUGACUCAAUACCCUACACAU